CACGUAGGAGGCGAGCGUUGUCCGGAAUCAUUGGGCGUAAAGCGCGCGCAGGCGGUCGUCCAAGUCGAGUGUGAAAGCCCCCGGCUCAACUGGGGAGGGUCACUCGAUACUGAUCGACUUGAAGGCAGAAGAGGGAAGCGGAAUUCCCGGUGUAGUGGUGAAAUGCGUAGAUAUCGGGAGGAACACCAGUGGCGAAGGCGGCUUUCUGGUCUGUUCUUGACGCUGAGGCGCGAAAGCUAGGGUAGCAAACGGG
rnacentral:rRNA from 1 species